rnacentral:lncRNA from 1 species
GAGAUGCAGGAAUAGAGCCUAGCUUUAAUCAACCCAAACCUACUCAACCUCCAGAUCUAGGAUCAAAAAUAAAGCAUUGUUGUUUUAACCCAGUGAAUAUUUGGGGAUGGUUUGCUGUACAACAAGAGCUAACUGAUACAGCCUCUCUCUGUCACAGGCAAUUGGAUGAAUGCCCAAGGCCUAGCUGGCUGGUACCUGUCCCAGGUGUCUCUGCUCUUUUGGGCCGAAACACUCCGUGAACUAUGCUCCACCUUUGCAGCUGCUGCCAUUAUUUUUCUUCCUUUGGGACAAUGACACCUUCGUUAGUGCUGUUUAUCCUACUCAAUGGAGCUAGACAAGAGGCAAAAAUAAGAAGCACUUGGACUGGAGGAAGAACAACCAUUCAUGGAUGGUCGGUUUGCUCCCCAAUGGUCAGCAGUGGUGAAGGUAUAUCCUGCUCAGGUAGUCAAGGCAGCCCUGGUCCAUGCAUGGGCAGAACAGGAAGCAUGGAG